rnacentral:rRNA from 1 species
AACGAACGCUGGCGGCAUGCCUAACACAUGCAAGUCGAACGAGACCUUCGGGUCUAGUGGCGCACGGGUGCGUCACGCGUGGGAACCUGCCUUUAGGUUCGGAAUAACUCCCCGCAAGGGGUGCUAAUACCGGAUAAUUUCUUCGGACCAAAGAUUUAUCGCCUUUGGAUGGGCCCGCGUUGGAUUAGCUAGUUGGUAGGGUAAAAGCCUACCAAGGCGACGAUCCAUAGCUGGUCUGAGAGGAUGAUCAGCCACACUGGGACUGGGACACGGCCCAGACUCCUACGGGAGGCAGCAGUGGGGAAUAUUGGACAACGGGCGAAAGCCUGAUCCAGCAAUGCCGCGUGAGUGAUGAAGGCCUUAGGGUUGUAAAGCUCUUUUACCCGGGAUGAUAAUGACAGUACCGGGAGAAUAAGCGCCGGCUAACUCCGUG